CCUACGGGAGGCAGCAGUGAGGAAUAUUGGUCAAUGGACGAGAGUCUGAACCAGCCAAGUAGCGUGAAGGAUGACUGCCCUAUGGGUUGUAAACUUCUUUUAUAUGGGAAUAAAACGUUCCACGUGUGGGAUUUUGUAUGUACCAUAUGAAUAAGGAUCGGCUAACUCCGUGCCAGCAGCCGCGGUAAUACGGAGGAUCCGAGCGUGAUCCGGAUUUAUUGGGUUUAAAGGGAGCGUAGGUGGAUUGUUAAGUCAGUUGUGAAAGUUUGCGGCUCAACCGUAAAAUUGCAGUUGAAACUGGCAGUCUUGAGUACAGUAGAGGUGGGCGGAAUUCGUGGUGUAGCGGUGAAAUGCUUAGAUAUCACGAAGAACUCCGAUUGCGAAGGCAGUUCACUGGACUGCAACUGACACUGAGGCUCGAAAGUGUGGGUAUCAAACAGGAUUAGAUACCCUUGUAGUC
rnacentral:rRNA from 1 species